rnacentral:rRNA from 1 species
GACGAACGCUGGCGGCGUGCCUAAUACAUGCAAGUAGGACGCAGUUGCGAACGGGUGAGUAACGCUUAGGUAACUGCCUAUUAGAGGGGGAUAACUAUUGGAAACGAUAGCUAAUACCGCAUACUAGUAGAUGGACCUGCGUUGUAUUAGGUAGUAGGUAGGGUAAUGGCCUACCUAGGCGACGAUACAUAGCCGACCUGGUAGGGUGAUCGGCAACAAUGGGACUGAGACACGGCCCAGAAUCCUACGGGAGGCAGCCGUAGGGAAUCUUCGGCAAUGGGGGGAACCCUGACCGAGCAACGCCGGGGGAGUGAAGAAGGGUUUCGGAUCGUAAAGCUCUGUUGUGAAGGAAGCGGUACUUAACCAGAAAGGGACGGCUAACUACGUGCCAGCAGCCGCGGUAAUAC